ensembl:snRNA
AGAAGGGGCUUCUGCCAUGAGUGGGACACGUUGGGCAGCUUGCUUGCUCUACAUGCGAAAUUGACAUCAAGAGAUUUUGGAAGCAUAAUUUCUUGGCAGUAGGACAGCUGAUGAUUGUUGGUCUUGGCACCUCC